rnacentral:rRNA from 1 species
GCUUGCGUUGAUGCCCUCUGUGUGGCACUCAUUGCCGAGUGUUGCGUUGAGUGUGUGUUAAUGUUUGAGUGCUUCCCUGUACAUUCUCUCUACAAUCAGUGGUGUUUGUAGGCCAUCCACCUGUCCCGUCUUGAAAACACGGACCAAGGAGUUUAUCAUGUACGCGAGUCAUUGGGUUCUCCGAAACCUAAAGGCGCAGUGAAAGUAAAUCUCUCCAUUGCCGGAGAGUGAGGUGUGAUCCAUAUUUCCCUCGGGAGUGUGGCGCAACACCGGCUCGUCCUAUACAUUCUAUGUAAGGCGAAGCAAGAGCGUACAUGAAGAGACCCGAAAGAUGGUGAACUAUGCUUGCGUAGGCUGAAGCUAGAGGAAACUCUGGUGGAAGGCCGUAGCGAUUCUGACGUGCAAAUCGAUCGUGUAACGUGAGUAUAGGGGCGAAAGACUAAUCGAACCAUCUAGUAGCUGGUUCCCUCCGAAGUUUCCCUCAGGAUAGCUGGCACUUGCACGAAGCAGUUUCAUCCGGUAAAGCGAAUGAUUAGAAGUAUUGGGGGUGAAAUGCCCUCAACUUAUUCUCAAACUUGAAAUGGGUGAGACGCUCGUCUCUCUUAAGUGGAGAUGAGUUGAACUAGAUUGUGAGUUGCCCAGUGGGCCAUUUUUGGUAAGCAGAACUGGCGAUGCGGGAUGAACCGAAAGUAGCUGUUAAGGUGCUUAACAUGACGCUCAUAAGAGACCACAAAAGGUGUUGGUUGAUAUAGACAGCAGGACGGUGGCCAUGGAAGUUGGAAUCCGCUAAGGAGUGUGUAACAACUCACCUGCCGAAUCAACCAGCCCUGAAAAUGGAUGGCGCUCGAGCGACAGACCUAGACAGCACUGUCAUGGCAAGCAGUCCACAGCGUGGGAGCCAUGACAAGUAGGAGGGCGAUGCGGUAAGCAUAGAAGCCACAGUCGUGAGACUGGGUGGAGCUGCCGUAUGUGCAGAU